ensembl:lncRNA
AUGGGCAUGUUGUUGUGUGUGAUUGUGGGUGAGUGUGGGCAUGUUGUUGUGUGUGAUUGUGGGUGAGUGUGGGCAUGUUGUUGUGUGUGAUUGUGGGUGAGUAUGGGCAUGUAGUUGUGUGUGAUUGUGGGUGAGUGUGGGCAUGUUGCUGUGUGUGAUUGUGGGUGAGUGUGGGCAUGUUGUUGUGGGUGAGUGUGGGCAUGUUGUUGUGUGUGAUUGUGGGUGAGUGUGGGCAUGUUGUUGUGUGUGAUUGUGGGUGAGUGUGGGCAUGUUGUUGUGUGUGAUGGUGGGUGAGUGUGGUCAUGUUCUUGUGGGUGAUUGUGUGUGAGUGUGGGCAUGUUGUUGUGUAUGAUUGUGGGUGAGUGUAGGCAUGGUGUUGUGUGUGAUUGUGGGUGAGCGUGGGCAUGUUGUUGUGUGAUUGUGGGUGAGUGUGGGCAUGUAGUUGUUUGUGAUUGUGGGUGAGUGUGGGCAUGUUGUUGUGUGUGAUUGUGGGUGAGUGUGGGCAUGUUGUUGUGUGUGAUUGUGGGUGAGUGUGGGCAUGUUGUUGUGUGUGAUUGUGGGAGAGUGUGGGCAUGUUGUUGUGGAUGAUUGUGGGUGAGUGUAGGCAUGUUGUUGUGUGUGAUUGUGGGUGAGUAUGGGCAUGUAGUUGUGUGUGAUUGUGGGUGAGUGUGGGCAUGUUGUUGCGUGUGAUUGUGGGUGAGUGUGGACAUGUUGUUGUGUGUGAUUGUGGGUGAGUGUGGGCAUGUUGUUGUGUGUGAUUGUGGGUGAGUGUGGACAUGUUGUUGCGUGUGAUUGUGGGUGAGUGUGGGCAUGUUGUUGUGGGUGAUUGUGGGUGAGUGUGGGCAUGUUGUUGCGUGUGAUUGUGGGUGAGUGUGGGCAUGUUGUUGUGUGUGAUUGUGGGUGAGUGUGGGCAUGUUGUUGUGGGUGAUUGUGGGUGAGUGUAGGCAUGUUGUUGUGUGUGAUUGUGGGUGAGUGUGGGCAUGUUGUUGUGUGUGAUUGUGGGUGAGUGUG